rnacentral:rRNA from 1 species
UAACGAAGGGGGCUAGCGUUUGCUCGGAUUGACUGGGCGUAAAGGGCGCGUAGGCGGUUCGUACAGUCAGACGUGAAAUUCCUGGGCUCAACCUGGGGGCUGCGUUUGAUACGUGCGGACUUGAGUGCGGAAGAGGGUCGUGGAAUUCCCAGUGUAGAGGUGAAAAUUCGUAGAUAGUUGGGGAAGAACGACCGGGUGGCGAAGGCGGG